rnacentral:rRNA from 1 species
AGCGAACGCUGGCGGCAGGCUUAACACAUGCAAGUCGAGCGCCCCGCAAGGGGAGUGGCAGACGGGUGAGUAACACGUGGGAACGUGCCUUUUGGUUCGGAACAACCCAGGGAAACUUGGGCUAAUACCGGAUAAGCCCUUAGGGGGAAAGAUUUAUCGCCAAAAGAUCGGCCCGCGUCUGAUUAGCUAGUUGGUGGGGUAAUGGCCCACCAAGGCUACGAUCAGUAGCUGGUCUGAGAGGAGGAUCAGCCACAUUGGGACUGAGACACGGCCCAAACUCCUACGGGAGGCAGCAGUGGGGAAUAUUGGACAAUGGGGGCAACCCUGAUCCAGCCAUGCCGCGUGAGUGAUGAAGGCCUUAGGGUUGUAAAGCUCUUUUAGCAGGGAAGAUAAUGACGGUACCUGCAGAAAAAGCCCCGGCUAACUUCGUGCCAGCCGCCGCGGUAA